rnacentral:lncRNA from 1 species
AGACAUCUGGGCUGCUAGCUGCAUGAAGGAGCUACCCGCUGUGGGUCUCCUCUUUGCUGACAGCUGGACACUUGACAGAAUGACCUGCCUGAACUCGGGACCUGCAGAAUGAUGGGACUGAAGAAGCUGUAACACAAACAGGGCUAAAACACGCACUCUCCUCCCCCUGCUCCCCACCGCCCCACCCACUUGCCACAUUGGAGGUGAUGAGAAGGAGAGAAGAGCUGUGGCCUUUCAGGGAGCAUAGUCCCAGGGGCUCCCUGAGCCAGGGCUGUGAAACCCUCUUCCGGGCACUGCAGUUCCUGGCAUCUCCAAACUUCUGAGUGCCACCGCAUUCCCCGCGUCCGGAUGCAGGUCAAUGCACAGAAAGAAAUCUCUCUCCUGACUUUAGUACAAUGGCACGAUUGGUGGCCACAGUCCAAGGAUGGUUGCUGGGGCACCAAGAGAUUUCUGACAAAGGGCAUUAAAACUGAGAAAGUUUGGGAACCUCUGAAUGCUGUAGGACUUGCAUUUACGUUCUAACUGAGCUUGUUGGACACUGAAAUGGAGGAAGAAUCACAAGCCAUUUUCAAACCUGUAACUUUCUGUAAAAAAUUACAGCAGUGCAGAAGGUCUACUGGAUUAUGGCCUCCAGUUCCAUCCAUGUUGCUGCAGAAGCUAUAAUUUUAUUCUUUUGAAUGCUUUAAGCGUUCCAAAUCAUUGAAUUACUGAGAAGAUUAAAUGAGGGUAAAACAAUCCUUGAUACAUACCAACCAUCCAAUAAGAUUUGGCUGCAAUCACUACUUGUCAUCAUCAGUGACUGUAACAGAAGCAUGAAGACCAUAGCAAAGAGUCUGGAUACAGUGAAACAAGAAAUCGAGAGCCUUGUUAUUUCCUGCCUAAGGUAAUGCCAUGAGAAACAAACAAACAAGCAAAAUCGUAUUUUAUAGAGCUGAAAAAAAUCAUUUAUUUAAGGAAAAUAAAGAAGACGAGGAGAGGAGUAAGGAUUUGACGGGGGGAAUGGAGACAGGCCAGGCAGAAAUAAGAGCUUGGAUUACAUUUUUAAUAGCCUAAAAUAUGGAAAGAAAUGAUUGAGGUUGAUAUAUUGCAGACCUGUUUUCUUCUUUGACAGAAAAUUCCUUAAGAUUCUAGGAUGCAAAGAUUGGCAGUCAAAUUCAUUCAGAUGUACAGACUUUAUUCUUUUAUAAAAAGCCAUCCCACUGAUAUGCUUAUAAAAGCAGAUAUACAUU